UUGGCUAUGCAAGGGCAUUGCAGAGAGACCAGGACAAAAGGCUGGAGACCCGAGGGCUUCUGGGAAAAUUCACCGGCACUGAGAGCAUGAAAUGCCAUCUUCCUGCCCUUUGGAGACUACCAUGGACUGUUAAAAACACCAGCGUCAUUAUGGGCGACCAUCUGGCCCGGGUUGCCUCCGUGUCUCAGUUUAGCACUAGAAGCCUGGCAUCCGGGACACCCUUCUGACCCAGGCAAACAGGGACGGUGGUCACUUGAGCUCCGCUUCAGCCUCUUUUAGUUCUAGAAGUGAAAUUAAUCAGAACGAGAAUUGAACUACCCGCAUCACCUUCCAGAAUGUUCUCAAUCAUCACAUACCGGAGGUGCUGUUUUCACCUCCAUUUUCACAUCAAGAAACUCAGGCACAGAGCUGCGAGGCAACUUGCCUAGUGCAGAACAGCCAGUGAGUGUGGGGCCAGGGUGUAAGCCCUGCUGCUCUGAAGCGGUUAAGUCGUGUCCAUGGGGAAGAUUUCAAAGCAGCCAGGAUGUGAUCUGUGAUGAGUGGCUUCUCUCCAGCCCCACCCCAGUCUCCUGACUCUCCGUUGGAGGAACUGAUGCCAUCAGUGUGUCACGUGGUCAGCCUUCCUCUGCCGGCUUCGAGAGAACGAGGGCUUGAGGCCCAAGGGGACUGGUGCGUGGAAGGAAUUAGCUUCUCUCCUCUGCAUCCCGAGUGGUACCGGUUAUGAACCAUCCUUCGGUGAACUGAGCCUUUGUCCCUUGUGUCAUUUUCCACAUUCUGUGCCAGAUCCUGACCCCCAGCUGGUCGGUUAAACCAGCCCUUCCAUACCUCUCUUUCCCCUUCCUCUAUCUCGGAGAGGGCGCAUUGUUAGCGUGCACACCUGCCUCUGGGUUCCGGCUGUGUGGUACCCCACGGUGGGUGCGUGUAACUCAUAAUGUGCCUCCUCUGACGGGCAUGCAGUUCGCUCGAGUCUUUUGCGUGUGUGCUUCCGUGUGUAUUACGUGCACAUACGUGAGGGCAUCUGCGAGAUAAUGUCCUAGAGGGUCAGACGUUACUGCUUUGUGUCCGAGCUGGUCCUAGCGCCCAGGCUUCUGGGGCAAAGACAAAAAGAUUCUGUAGCCAGUCUGGGAUCAGCCUGGCCCAGAUCUCCGGCUCUCCUCGAUCUCCAGUUCUCCUAGAACAGACUGGAAGUUAGAGGAGGGGAACAAGAAUUCCAGAUGUUCAAGGAAGAGAAUGAACGGUUAUCGUGGGCCUACUACGUGUUAGGCAUCUCCACGUUGCCUUAUUUAAUUCUCACGGCAGCUCUGUGGGGUGGGUACCUGUUUCCAGUUUACUGCAGAAGCUCAGAGAGGUUAAGUCACUUGCUUGGGGGCAUACAGUGGGUAAGUGGCAAAACUGGGAUUUGAACCCAAGUGAGUCUGAAUCCAAAGCCUGUGCCCUUUCUGCUCCACCACCUAAUGGCUGCAAAUGCGUCCAGAAUGGCCAGGGGUCAGGCUGGCAGGUUGCCCACCUCCAGAGGGUAUUAUUCACAUUGCAGUCUGUGUGCUUGGCAUCCCCGGCAUUGUGCAGUGCACAGUCUGUGAGGCCGCACAUGGCAACCCUGCUGGGGUGCCCAUGCUCUACUCUCAACAACAACAACAAAAUCGCUAAACACAAUCACCGCCUUUAAGAACAUGCAGCAGCAAACCAGUUGACUCAUAAAUUCUUUCUCUUAUAUGUUCAUUAAGAAGUUGUUAGUGAUACUAAUAACAUCAAAGUUGAGAGAGGCUGUUUCCUGCCUUCCAGGGCCUCUCGGUCACUGUGAUUUAGAAGUGCCUUGUGAUCAAAGGGGAGGAUUGGACUGACCCUGUUGGGCUGAGGAUCAGGGAAGGCUCCUUGGUGGAGGGGGCAGUUGGCUGGGCUCUGAAGGAUGAAUAGGAGUUUUUGGUAGGAGAGGGUGUAGGGGGCGUGAGGGUGGAGGAAGGACAUUUCAAGCAGAGGGAACGGCCAGCAGAAGGCACAGGUGUGAAAUAAGCAGGCCCAUCAGGAGCUGCCAGUGGUUCCAUGUGACUUGGGCGCGGGGAGUAUGGGAGGAAGUGGGGAGCAGGCAGAGGCCCUUGGAGGGAUUAAACACACAGACACACGCACAUGUGUGUGCAGUGAGCAAAGAAGGGCCCCUGGAGACCCUGACUUGGGUGUGAAUCCUGAUCCUCACUCUGCCAUCUUGGGUGAGGCCCUCCCCCACUCUGGGCUUCGUGUCUGCAUUCGGGGGAGGGGACGGGCUGUGGCCCAUGGUGGGAGUAGGGGUGUCCGUGGUUGGCGUUGUGUGUGCUGAGCCCUGCAGCUCGCUCAGCUGACCUUGGCAAUGCGGAUGUACCUUGUUUGGCGUGACCCUCCCUGCUGGGGUCAGGCCCAGCUGGCAGCCUGGGGAGGCCAGGGUGAGGUAGGGGCCUUGGUGGGGCAGGGGAAUGACCUCUGGCUCAGUGGUCUGGGUGCCGCCCGGGCUGGGUGUGCAGACACCUUCCGCGGGCUGGGGCGGUGAGGGCCCACUGAGAGCUGCUGGGUCUCGGUCCCCUGUCAGCAAAGCGGCCACUGUCCGCCUCACAGAGGAGGGGACCGCAGCCCCGGUUCGCACAGGGAAGGAGGGCUGCAGCCCGCGGCUGGUGGGCUGCUCUGGUCUGGGUUCUGUCUGUCCUUCACUUCUUUCCUCAUUGCCCCUUCCCAGGUGACAGGUGAGGUGGGGGCCGGGGUCGGCUGCCGCCCUGGCUUCCGUGCUUCCCGAGCUUGAGUGAAAGCAGUGUCUCUGGGUCCAGCCUCGCACUGUGUGCUCUCGGGGUCGCCUCCUCCAGGCCUCCGUCCCUGUCCAGAGGCUCUUCCCUCUGCCUGGAAUGUGCCAACUCCUCUUUGCCUUCUCGGCAAACUCCUGUUCAUCCAUCAAAACCCAGA